rnacentral:rRNA from 2 species
UGAGGGAAAGGCGAAAAGAACCCCGGCGAGGGGAGUGAAAAAGAACCUGAAACCGUGUACGUACAAGCAGUGGGAGCCCCACCACUAAGCCAGUGGUGAACUCCACAUACGCAUCCUUUGCUGAGGAUACGGUUAACGGAGCGAAAGCGACGUUCAACCUCAAAAGAAGCAGAGGGGGCUUAGUGGUGGGGUGACUGCGUACCUUUUGUAUAAUGGGUCAGCGACUUAUAUUCUGUAGCAAGGUUAACCGCAUAGGGGAGCCGGAGG